rnacentral:rRNA from 1 species
CGGGACGGGUGAGUAACGCGUGGGUAACCUGCCGUAUGCAGGGGGAUAACACUUAGAAAUAGGUGCUAACACCGCAUAAGCGCACGAGAGCGCAUGCUUUUGUGUGAAAAACUACCGGUGGCAUACGAUGGACCCGCGUCUGAUUAGCCAGUUGGCAGGGUAACGGCCUACCAAAGCGACGAUCAGUAGCCGGCCUGAGAGGGCGGACGGCCACAUUGGGACUGAGACACGGCCCAAACUCCUACGGGAGGCAGCAG